GUCCGCCUUGCGUGCGAGCAGCUCGUGCUCCCGCGAGACGUGGCAGGAGCGUGCGGAGGAGGAGGGGAGCCCGACGCGGGACUCGAACCCGGGACUCCAGGCUCGCGCCCGGGCCCGGGGCCGGCGCCAAACCGCGGGCCGCUUUGCACGAGCUCUCGGAGCUGCCUGGCCAAGACGGUCCCCAGCCCCGGCGUGCGAGCCCGCCCUCCCCGUCCUCUUCGCGAGGGCCAAGGGAAGCUUUGAUUCCUCGCAGCAGUGUCGGAGGAAGGACGUCCUGGAAGCUGCCCAGCUGCGCCCCAGCUCCUCAGUGUUUCCUUAGAGCUGCCUGGGGACGGCCCCCCGGGAUCCCAGGACCCUUGGCCAGCUGUCCCCGUGACUGCGCUCACCAGCCGCUGCUUCUCCAGCCGAGGGGUUACGAGAGGGCCUGGGAAGCAGCCCAAGGGUGCUUAGUGCACAGACAAGGGGGGUGGGGCAGACGCGCAGGCCCCCGAGCUGGGCGCCUCCCCACCUGCUGAGUCACUGGCUGACUCCGGAGCAUCCCAUUGGGCCCAGGGUCUCUUGAGUCCUGAUCAAGGAGGAGGUGAGCAAAGGAAAAGCCCAGGCAAAGGCUCCAGGAGGGGAAUCCCUUAAUACCUCUCGCCCCUCGGCUGAGGCCACACAGCAGGCACCCCGAAGGCGUCCUGAUGAGUUCAGCCUGCUGAAGUCACCGCCCCAAGGUUUACAGGGUUUGUCUAGACUGGAUUGGGAAGAGGCCACUCUGCAGAGUUCUCACGUACCUGCGAAGCUUAUCUCCUGAUCCCUCGUGGCAUCUGUAGGUUUUGCUAAAACAGGAAGGGGGAGAGCAGCUCCCUCCCAAAAAAGACAAGACCUCUGCCAGCAUCCACAGCACAUUCUCCUGCUCCA